AAUGUAGCGUAAAGGGUAGCGCGUUGGACUUCUAAUCCAUAGGUCGUGGGUUCGAACUCCACCUGGGUUG
rnacentral:tRNA from 1 species